GCAUGUUUGUCCAUCCAAUGUACAAUUCUCAUUCAUUCUCCUGGAUUUCAUUCAUUCUCUAGCAGGUUGCUACUGUACGGAGAUUAGAUCAAUUGCGUCAUCCAGCAAUUUUGUCCCUUGUUCAGCCAGAGAUUACAAAAAUGGCUUAUGUUGGCUUUAAGCAGAGAUACAGUGCGUAUAAACAAUGUAGCCAGCAGGCGCUACUAAACAUCGACAGGCAACAAUGAAUAAUUACAGUGAGAGAUGACUUCUGCGAGCAGGGCGGAUUUAGAAAUCACAGGCCACAGGGCUUAGAUAUUGUAUACUCAUGCAAGCAUACUUUUUCAAUGACAGAAGUGUAAGGACUAUUUAACUGUAAGAAAUCUACUUUUUAAAUUGUAACUGCCCCUUAAGCCCCUUAUGGGUCUGUGCUCCAGACCUGUGUAUGGUCACAUUUAUUUUUUUUCUUUGCCUGAAUGAAAAAAGUAACAUUUCUUUUUUUGCUCUGUCUGAAGGGCCCCAUUCAGAUUUAGGACCCAGGACUUCACCCCCUGUAUGCCUCUACACAUGGCCCCUGGACAUAAGGAUUACUAGACUAUUCUUCACGGCCAUCGUUAUAGUUUCUUUUAUCCGGACAUUUCUAAGUGAGCCCAAAGUUUGGAAUGGUAGUGUAGAAGAACAGGAAACACUCUUCCCUGCAGGAAGGAAAAGAAAUGAGGGACAUCAACACAACUAUGGGAAGACAAGCGCUCAAGAGCCGAACAACUGAAAGAGAAGAGGAACAUUUUUCCAUGUUCGGGCUAAAGGACAGGCAACCGGAGAAGAUCAAGGCUCCACUUAAGGAUGUCAUCAGAUGAAAGGCUUAGUGUUACACCAGACACGUAUCAGCGGCUCCAUUCAAAGAGACCAGCUCUGAGUGGGACACAGGAAUCUCCAGGACGCGUGCUAAAAGGGAGUGUAAAUAAUUGGUCCUGGGUCAAGUUUAACUGAACCCACGUCGAUAAAGGUCAGUCACAUUGCCAUCACUCACCCCACCACACGUGUUGUUUACGAAGGCAUCUCGGAAACAAGUUAUUUUGAACCCAGCACCCCCUGACUGCGUUCCGAACGCGGCGGGGUCGACCUCUACUGCCCAGGUCAAAUCUUCGGGGGUAUUUUCAUUAGGACGCGCCACCGGAAGUGGCGAGGCUCUCCAUCAGCGUAAAAGGAGGGGCGUUCAGAGUUGUAAUUCCAAUGGAUUCAUGAAUGAUCGCAACUGACACAGGGUUAUGAUGAGGGAUCACCCAAUGACCAAGAUUCAUCAACCAGACAAUUGACUCCCUCACAAUGAAGACUGGCCCAACGCAUCUGCCCGUUCGCUCACUGAUGGGCUCAAUACUUGGAUUAUGGCCUACAGGGAAGAGGUCAGUGACCUGGAAGUGUGGCGCCAGGACAGCAACCACUCCCUAAACAAAGUAGGUUGGGGACGGCAGCCUAUGGAAGGAUGAGCACACCACCAUUCACGGGGCGGAAUUGGUAUGAGUCGAUGGGAAGUUCCACUGUAUUGUAAAAGAGCCAUUGAGGGGGAAAAAGGCUUUUACCACGCAACGAUUGGUGCCCUCUGUCAUCCAAACCACUCCCUUCAAAUUUCAUGUAUGUAUGAGAGUGAUUGUGCUUAGGAAUGCACAUUUAAACAACACAUUACACAUCCAUCUCAAAAGGGGAGGUUUAAAACAUUCUGUUAAUCGCCCAGACACAAGCUGAAUGUAAGCUUUCAUAUUUUGAAGUAGUAGUGUGGAGAACCCAGUACACCACAGAUCUCCCUACCAUCUUGGACCUCCACUCAUACAAGGCAGUUUCAGAAAAAGUCCCUAUGAUCCAAGUAGUGUUAUUAAUAGAGAGCUCAAAUAUGCAGUAAAAUGUCAGAUUCAUUUUCUGUAUUAAUUACACUUGAUUGUCAUUAUCUUUACAAAGUCGCAUAACUAUUCUGGUUAGCAUUUCUAUUGAUGGUGUUUCAAUUGCCAUUUGUUGUGUAUCUGUCAAUAAAGUUAGGUGAGAAAGGAAGUACACCCACUGAAAACUUUAACAUAUUUUAGAUUUUUUUUUUUUUAAAUCAACCAUACUAUAUACUGAUGAAUAUAACCCAAUGUAUAGGAUUACAAAAAACAGAAGUUA
ensembl:lncRNA